GGAGAAAGGAGUAUUGCGUGUGUUUGACUUGAAUUAUAACAAUGAAAAAGCUCGCCUCCAAAUUCAUUGGCUCCUGUGUCUUUCUCCUGGCUUGGAACCAGACCGGAUUUUACUUCCAACAGUCCCUGCCUUGCGAUACAUACUGCGUUUC